GCCAACGUCCAUACCACGUUGAAAACACUGGUUCUCGUCCGAUCACCGAAGUUAAGCAACGUCGGGCGCGGUCAGUACUUGGAUGGGUGACCGCCUGGGAACACCGCGUGAUGUUGGCU
rfam:Papilio xuthus contig11446, whole genome shotgun sequence.